rnacentral:rRNA from 1 species
AGCGUACACGGUGGAUGCCCUGGCAGUCAGAGGCGAUGAAGGACGUGCUAAUCUGCGAUAAGCGUCGGUAAGGUGAUAUGAACCGUUAUAACCGGCGAUUUCCGAAUGGGGAAACCCAGUGUGAUUCGUCACACUAUCAUUAACUGAAUCCAUAGGUUAAUGAGGCGAACCGGGGGAACUGAAACAUCUAAGUACCCCGAGGAAAAGAAAUCAACCGAGAUUCCCCAGUAGCGGCGAGCGAACGGGGAGCAGCCCAGAGCCUGAAUCAGUGUGUGUGUUAGUGGAAGCGUCUGGAAAGGCGUGCGAUACAGGGUGACAGCCCCGUACACAAAAAUGCACAUAUUGUGAGCUCGAUGAGUAGGGCGGGACACGUGGUAUCCUGUCUGAAUAUGGGGGGACCAUCCUCCAAGGCUAAAUACUCCUGACUGACCGAUAGUGAACCAGUACCGUGAGGGAAAGGCGAAAAGAACCCCGGCGAGGGAGUGAAAAAGAACCUGAAACCGUGUACGUACAAGCAGUGGGAGCACGCUUAGGCGUGUGACUGCGUACCUUUUGUAUAAUGGGUCAGCGACUUAUAUUCUGUAGCAAGGUUAACCGAAUAGGGGAGCCGAAGGGAAACCGAGUCUUAACUGGGCGUUAAGUUGCAGGGUAUAGACCCGAAACCCGGUGAUCUAGCCAUGGGCAGGUUGAAGGUUGGGUAACACUAACUGGAGGACCGAACCGACUAAUGUUGAAAAAUUAGCGGAUGACUUGUGGCUGGGGUGAAAGGCCAAUCAAACCGGGAGAUAGCUGGUUCUCCCCGAAAGCUAUUUAGGUAGCGCCUCGUGAAUUCAUCUCCGGGGUAGAGCACUGUUUCGGCAAGGGGGUCAUCCCGACUUACCAACCCGAUGCAAACUGCGAAUACCGGAGAAUGUUAUCACGGGAGACACACGGCGGGUGCUAACGUCCGUCGUGAAGAGGGAAACAACCCAGACCGCCAGCUAAGGUCCCAAAGUCAUGGUUAAGUGGGAAACGAUGUGGGAAGGCCCAGACAGCCAGGAUGUUGGCUUAGAAGCAGCCAUCAUUUAAAGAAAGCGUAAUAGCUCACUGGUCGAGUCGGCCUGCGCGGAAGAUGUAACGGGGCUAAACCAUGCACCGAAGCUGCGGCAGCGACACUAUGUGUUGUUGGGUAGGGGAGCGUUCUGUAAGCCUGUGAAGGUGUACUGUGAGGUAUGCUGGAGGUAUCAGAAGUGCGAAUGCUGACAUAAGUAACGAUAAAGCGGGUGAAAAGCCCGCUCGCCGGAAGACCAAGGGUUCCUGUCCAACGUUAAUCGGGGCAGGGUGAGUCGACUCCUAAGGCGAGGCCGAAAGGCGUAGUCGAUGGGAAACAGGUUAAUAUUCCUGUACUUGGUGUUACUGCGAAGGGGGGACGGAGAAGGCUAUGUUGGCCGGGCGACGGUUGUCCCGGUUUAAGCGUGUAGGCUGGUUUUCCAGGCAAAUCCGGAAAACUAAGGCUGAGGCGUGAUGACGAGGCACUACGGUGCUGAAGCAACAAAUGCCCUGCUUCCAGGAAAAGCCUCUAAGCAUCAGGUAACAUCAAAUCGUACCCCAAACCGACACAGGUGGUCAGGUAGAGAAUACCAAGGCGCUUGAGAGAACUCGGGUGAAGGAACUAGGCAAAAUGGUGCCGUAACUUCGGGAGAAGGCACGCUGAUAUGUAGGUGAAGUCCCUCGCGGAUGGAGCUGAAAUCAGUCGAAGAUACCAGCUGGCUGCAACUGUUUAUUAAAAACACAGCACUGUGCAAACACGAAAGUGGACGUAUACGGUGUGACGCCUGCCCGGUGCCGGAAGGUUAAUUGAUGGGGUCAGCGCAAGCGAAGCUCUUGAUCGAAGCCCGGUAAACGGCGGCCGUAACUAUAACGGUCCUAAGGUAGCGAAAUUCCUUGUCGGGUAAGUUCCGACCUGCACGAAUGGCGUAAUGAUGGCCAGGCUGUCUCCACCCGAGACUCAGUGAAAUUGAACUCGCUGUGAAGAUGCAGUGUACCCGCGGCAAGACGGAAAGACCCCGUGAACCUUUACUAUAGCUUGACACUGAACAUUGAGCCUUGAUGUGUAGGAUAGGUGGGAGGCUUUGAAGUGUGGACGCCAGUCUGCAUGGAGCCGACCUUGAAAUACCACCCUUUAAUGUUUGAUGUUCUAACGUUGACCCGUAAUCCGGGUUGCGGACAGUGUCUGGUGGGUAGUUUGACUGGGGCGGUCUCCUCCUAAAGAGUAACGGAGGAGCACGAAGGUUGGCUAAUCCUGGUCGGACAUCAGGAGGUUAGUGCAAUGGCAUAAGCCAGCUUGACUGCGAGCGUGACGGCGCGAGCAGGUGCGAAAGCAGGUCAUAGUGAUCCGGUGGUUCUGAAUGGAAGGGCCAUCGCUCAACGGAUAAAAGGUACUCCGGGGAUAACAGGCUGAUACCGCCCAAGAGUUCAUAUCGACGGCGGUGUUUGGCACCUCGAUGUCGGCUCAUCACAUCCUGGGGCUGAAGUAGGUCCAAGGGUAUGGCUGUUCGCCAUUUAAAGUGGUACGCGAGCUGGGUUUAGAACGUCGUGAGACAGUUCGGUCCCUAUCUGCCGUGGGCGCUGGAGAACUGAGGGGGGCUGCUCCUAGUACGAGAGGACCGGAGUGGACGCAUCACUGGUGUUCGGGUUGUCAUGCCAAUGGCACUGCCCGGUAGCUAAAUGCGGAAGAGAUAAGUGCUGAAAGCAUCUAAGCACGAAACUUGCCCCGAGAUGAGUUCUCCCUGACUCCUUGA